rnacentral:miRNA from 1 species
GAGAGAAUAAUUGCGAGAGAGAGAGAGGGAAAGAUGAAAAUAAAGCGAGAAGAGAGGUUCACUCGAUAAAGUCAAGACCGCCAAAAAACUCCAGCAUGC